CUGCGACAUCGUGAUCUCCAUACAGCGUGUUCACGUGCUCUCCCACUAAACUCAGUGGACACAAUGUCUUGUUGGGCUGCAGCUGGAGGAUGUGCUGAGGGUCCUUGCAGCUGGAACCCACCAUCAAGGACCCAACCUGGACUUCAAGAUGUGUCCACUAGAGGAAGAAUGACAUGAGUCUUUUCUUCACUAAUUCCUGCAGACAUGGAAAGCAAAAUCCAAAAGUCAGUUUGUGUUGUUUGUACAAUAACGUGACGACGACCCGGUGACAGGCAGGGCCAUUGUUUCCGGCGAGAAUCCGGGGAUCUCCUCCAGGAAUACAGGGUCACCACUCUGUGGAGGAUGAGGGGCGCCAUCUCCAGGUAGCUCCCCCGAGAAAUCAUGCCGGAUCUCUACUUCUACGGAAACCAGAGGAGUGUACUGGAGCCCAGAAUGCUCCUGAAGGCUGGUCUGCAGCUCCCACUGCUCAGACCUCAGACUGUGAGGGUGCUAUUGCGCCGACUGGUCCUAUCAAAACACUAGAGAAAUGCACUAUUAGCUGAGAAAUCAAUAAAGUUGGCUGGUUAUUCAUAAAACUGUCUCGUUUCAUUCAUCUGCAUAAAGUAUGCACAUAUGCAUCAUGUGAAAUGUUUAUUUAAUGUUUAUAUUUAUAGGUAUACAUGCAUAGCAAUACUACAUCUGUCAUCACUGGAAAACAAAUACAAUACGAUACAAAUACAAUACGAUACAAGAUGCAAACUGAUGCUGUACAAAUAUAAUAAAACUACUUCAUGAAAAGAACAUGAUUUGUCAAAACUACACCAGAAUGUCUAAUUUUAAAUCUGCUGACACAUGAUCUAUGUUGAGUAAGUAUUGCAAUUGUUGCAGGUGUUGUGCAGAUUGAGAUUCAUCCUUGUAUUGAGCAGCUAAUUAGGAGUGAACUUUUUGUUGAGUCACGUGAGGUAAAUGGUAAUUAACACAUUAUUUGAGUCUAUUACAGCUAAUUAACAGUAUAUAUUACAGUAUAUGAAUUACCAGUAUCUCCGUGCGAACUUCAGACUAUGUACCUCUAAAUCUAAACCUCGUCACUCCUUGACUUAGAAGGCUAGUG